AUGCUUAUCCGGCAGGGUAGAUACCAUGAUCAUGAAGGUGGUUUCCCCAGAGCGAGGCUCACCCAUUGAACUCCGGGUGUGCUGACCCCUGCGAUUUCUUCAAAUGUGGGAAACUCGACUGCAUAAUUUGUGGUAGUCAGGAACUGAGUUCGUGCUCUCCCCUG